UACAGAGGGUGCAAGCGUUGUUCGGAAUUAUUGGGGCGUAAAGCGCGUGUAGGCGGCUUUUGCAAGUCGGGUGUGAAAGCCCUCAGCUCAACUGAGGAAAGUGCGCCCGAAACUGCAGAGCUUGAAUACCGGAGAGGAUGGCGGAAUUCCCCCAAGUAGAGGUGAAAUUCGUAGAUAUGGGGGAGGAACACCGGUGGCGAAGGCGGCCAUCUGGACGGCUAUUGGACGCUGAGACGCGAAAAGCGUGGGGAGCAAACAGG
rnacentral:rRNA from 1 species